GGAGGGGUGCAAGCGUUGUUCGGAAUUACUGGGCGUAAAGAGCGCGUAGGCGGGCCUCGUUAAUGUCAGGGUGUGAAAGCCCUCGGCCCAACCGAGGAAGUGCGCCUGAAACUGAGUGGCUUGAGUACGAGAGAGGAGGACGGAAUUCCCAGUGUAGAGGUGAAAUUCGUAGAUAUUGGGAAGAACACCGGUGGCGAAAGCGGUUCUCUGGAUCGAUACUGACGCUAAGGCGCGUAAAGCGUGGGGAGCAAACAGGAUUAGAUACCCUGGUAGUCCACGCUGUAAACGAUGGAUAUUAGUUGUUGCGGGCUUAUAAACUCGCAGUGACGACGCUAACGCAUUAAAUAUCCCGCCUGGGGAUUACGGCCGCAAGGUUA
rnacentral:rRNA from 1 species